CUUGUUCGCACCGCCUCUGCAGUGAAAAGCCUAGGUUUUGUUCAAGACAGCUGACCAGAACCUGACUUCAGAUGUGCACGAGAAACAUGACCUUGUCCCAAAGCUACCUCGGAAUGAUGGAACUCGUGUCAAGAGACCAGUAGUCAUCCCAAGUACAUCCUACUGUGCUACUGGACCCACUUCCAAAUCAAGACCUAGCCCAGCUCCUUAUGAAUUGUGCAUGGCCCCUUUUAUAAAUAUGUGUAACUGCCCCCAGA